AGGAAACAGGAAUUAAAUUGUGUAUUUUCUUCAUCUGUACAGAUCUGUAUCAUUGUGGACAGUCACAUACCAAGGAAGCAAUAAAGAACCAAGUUCACACAUCCAGAUGAUCGGUCUGCUUUUCCGAAGGAAAAUACAACAAUUCAAGACCGUUCAAAUUCUUGAAUGACACACAUAAUUCGGCCAGACAAAAAGAAAAAAGGAGAUCAAGGUUGACCUACCUGAUGGUCCUCACAGAGAUGCAGUACUUCCACAUUAGAUUCCACAUUGUAUUGACAUCACCAAUUUGAGCAUUUUAUUCUCACAAACCAUGGAGUUUUACAGUUGCAGCAAAGAGCUGCCUUCAGGAGCAAGCAAAUUAUUUCCUGGUGCAGCCAGUUAAUGACUCUCAGGCUUGAAACAAUUUCCACCACAACUCAUUUAAGGAAAAUGUACUAAAUUUCAAGGAAACUGCAUUACAAGUUUCUUUACCCAGCUUCUUGUUGUACUUGCAACAUUGAUUUCUUUUCCUGAUUGUUGAUCCUGAAACUGAAAAUGUAUGACGCUCACAAAUUUACCAAGUAAGGUAAAAGUCCAAACAGUCCGAUGAGGUUUGACAGUCGAGUUCACCACUGAGUAACAUUGGCUGUCUGUGGGGCCCCUUAAUAUUACUUACCAGAUGACAGCAACAAUACACCCUAAAUCAUCUGGUGGGGACUGUUUAAACUCCCAGCUGCCUGAAGAAUUUCCAACUUGUCUAGUACAAUAAAACAGUACAUAUGCAGCCAGUGAUGAAUAGAUCGGAGUUUUCUCAUUAAAACAUUUGACAAGAAACUGUAAA